UUAUUUUUAGCGCGCCUCUUCCUUUCGUCUUGUCUGUCUUUUUUGUUCUCACUGGCAAUCUUCAGUACGCGGGAAACUAGCCCUAGCGGAGAACCCCGGAGGAGGCAUCGCGACAGCCAAAAAUGCCGAAGUCCAUAUGCAAUAAAAUAGUGAACAAGAGAAGCUCAAAUCUUCUUAUAGUGAAAACAUA